GGAGAGCUCUAACAUGAGCUCCUGUUGCACUUUACAAUAGUCUUCCAACUUUUGGUGACAUAGCAAGCUUAUCUGAAGGACUGUGUACAUAAUGUAAGGUGAGUCGGUUUAAGUCUGACAUUCAGGUUGGGUGCUGCUAAAGCCCUGACUUGUUGAACCGAACAUUAAAAAAAGGCAGAAUAAGCUGGAUGUCACUGUUUAGGGCAAAG